GAAGAGCCGACACCUCCACUUACCGCCAUGUGUGAACUUUCUCCCUCCGAGCCCCGGCGGGUCGGCGCUGUGACUUACUGUACCGUACCGUAACAGGCUAUCCCAGCCCUGUUGUGCCACAUAUAUAUGCGAGCGUAAUUCUGAAUUUGACCCAUCGUUUCGAGCUUGCGCGCUGCGACACACACACACAACCAAACACAGAAGAUCGCCUCGACGGAAACAUUUGGUUUUACUUUGGGUAAUUCCACCGAAACUCAAGUCAGACGAUCCUGCCACUCCUACCUGUCCAGGUGUAACCCCAGCCCUUCCCGCCUUUCUCCCUCUCUAGAAUUGAAAUGGACCGCGCACUUUGCUUGACCGUUAAAUCGCCAUCAGUCCCUCAGUAGAACACAUCAUUCCCAAUGUGAUGACAGAGAUGAGUGGUUUGCAAGCAGCUCUAUACCUACUGCUGGUUCAUAUGGAUGAGUUUACAGGAUGCAGUUAAAUCUCCCUCAGUGGCUGCAGAUGUUUAAGCUCACUCUUCCUGACACAGUAAUUGCCACAGGGGCCGAGGUAUCCUUAAACAACAGUCAGCAUUG